UAAUGAAACCCUCUUGGUGCCCACUACACAUAAUUUGAGACAUACAGAAUUACCAUAGGCCCAUCAGAAUCAACAAUCUUUGCCAAACUGGAUCCGGACUGCAAAACUUAUGAAGAUGUUUGCAUAAUGAAGAAGAGUCCUUGGACAAAUAAUGAAACCCUCUUGGUGCCCACUACACAUAAUUUGAGACAUACAGAAUUACCAUAGGCCCAUCAGAAUCAACAAUCUUUGCCAAACUGGAUCCGGACUGCAAAACUUAUGAAGAUGUUUGCAUAAUGAAGAAGAGUCCUUGGACAAAUAAUGAAACCCUCUUGGUGCCCACUACACAUAAUUUGAGACAUACAGAAUUACCAUAGGCCCAUCAGAAUCAACAAUCUUUGCCAAACUGGAUCCGGACUGCAAAACUUAUGAAGAUGUUUGCAUAAUGAAGAAGAGUCCUUGGACAAAUAAUGAAACCCUCUUGGUGCCCACUACACAUGCAGGGGUGUCCAGACCUGCUCUAGGAAAGCCAGUGUUCUGUGGGGUUCAGCUCUAA